GAAUAUUUUGAACAUAAAGGUGCUUGCUAGUUUACUAGUAAGUUAAAAGGGAAGCUGGUGCAAGUCCAGCGCGGUCCCGCCACUGUAAGUGAUUGUACAUGAUCACAAGUCAGAAAACCUGCCUUUAUGCGUUUACACUU
rnacentral:ncRNA from 2 species